rnacentral:rRNA from 1 species
UUAAGCGACUAAGCGUACACGGUGGAUGCCCUGGCAGUCAGAGGCGAUGAAGGACGUGCUAAUCUGCGAAAAGCGUCGGUAAGGUGAUAUGAACCGUUAUAACCGGCGAUGUCCGAAUGGGGAAACCCAGUGUGAUUCGUCACACUAUCGUUAACUGAAUACAUAGGUUAACGAGGCGAACCGGGGGAACUGAAACAUCUAAGUACCCCGAGGAAAAGAAAUCAACCGAGAUUCCCCAGUAGCGGCGAGCGAACGGGGAGCAGCCCAGAGUCUGAAUCAGCUUGUGUGUUAGUGGAACGGUCUGGAAAGUCCGACGGUACAGGGUGAUAGUCCCGUACACCAAAAUGCACAGGCUGUGAACUCGAAGAGUAGGGCGGGACACGUGGUAUCCUGUCUGAAUAUGGGGGGACCAUCCUCCAAGGCUAAAUACUCCUGACUGACCGAUAGUGAACCAGUACCGUGAGGGAAAGGCGAAAAGAACCCCGGCGAGGGGAGUGAAAAAGAACCUGAAACCGUGUACGUACAAGCAGUGGGAGCACCUUGGGUGUGACUGCGUACCUUUUGUAUAAUGGGUCAGCGACUUAUAUUCUGUAGCAAGGUUAACCGUAUAGGGGAGCCGCAGGGAAACCGAGUCUUAACUGGGCGUUAAGUUGCAGGGUAUAGACCCGAAACCCGGUGAUCUAGCCAUGGGCAGGUUGAAGGUUGGGUAACACUAACUGGAGGACCGAACCGACUAAUGUUGAAAAAUUAGCGGAUGACUUGUGGCUGGGGGUGAAAGGCCAAUCAAACCGGGAGAUAGCUGGUUCUCCCCGAAAGCUAUUUAGGUAGCGCCUCGUGAAUUCAUCUUCGGGGGUAGAGCACUGUUUCGGCUAGGGGGUCAUCCCGACUUACCAACCCGAUGCAAACUACGAAUACCGAAGAAUGUUAUCACGGGAGACACACGGCGGGUGCUAACGUCCGUCGUGAAGAGGGAAACAACCCAGACCGCCAGCUAAGGUCCCAAAGUCAUGGUUAAGUGGGAAACGAUGUGGGAAGGCACAGACAGCCAGGAUGUUGGCUUAGAAGCAGCCAUCAUUUAAAGAAAGCGUAAUAGCUCACUGGUCGAGUCGGCCUGCGCGGAAGAUGUAACGGGGCUAAACCAUGCACCGAAGCUGCGGCAGCGACACUAUGUGUUGUUGGGUAGGGGAGCGUUCUGUAAGCCUGCGAAGUGUGCUGUGAGGCAUGCUGGAGGUAUCAGAAGUGCGAAUGCUGACAUAAGUAACGAUAAAGCGGGUGAAAAGCCCGCUCGCCGGAAGACCAAGGGUUCCUGUCCAACGUUAAUCGGGGCAGGGUGAGUCGACCCCUAAGGCGAGGCCGAAAGGCGUAGUCGAUGGGAAACAGGUUAAUAUUCCUGUACUUGGUGUUACUGCGAAGGGGGGACGGAGAAGGCUAUGUUAGCCGGGCGACGGUUGUCCCGGUUUAAGCAUGUAGGCUGGUUGUCCAGGCAAAUCCGGAUAAUCAAGGCUGAGGUGUGAUGACGAGGCACUACGGUGCUGAAGUAACAAAUGCCCUGCUUCCAGGAAAAGCCUCUAAGCAUCAGGUAACAUUAAAUCGUACCCCAAACCGACACAGGUGGUCAGGUAGAGAAUACCAAGGCGCUUGAGAGAACUCGGGUGAAGGAACUAGGCAAAAUGGUGCCGUAACUUCGGGAGAAGGCACGCUGGUGUGUAGGUGAAGUCCCUGCGGAUGGAGCUGAGACCAGUCGAAGAUACCAGCUGGCUGCAACUGUUUAUUAAAAACACAGCACUGUGCAAACACGAAAGUGGACGUAUACGGUGUGACGCCUGCCCGGUGCCGGAAGGUUAAUUGAUGGGGUUAUCCGUAAGGAGAAGCUCUUGAUCGAAGCCCCGGUAAACGGCGGCCGUAACUAUAACGGUCCUAAGGUAGCGAAAUUCCUUGUCGGGUAAGUUCCGACCUGCACGAAUGGCGUAAUGAUGGCCAGGCUGUCUCCACCCGAGACUCAGUGAAAUUGAACUCGCUGUGAAGAUGCAGUGUACCCGCGGCAAGACGGAAAGACCCCGUGAACCUUUACUAUAGCUUGACACUGAACAUUGAGCCUUGAUGUGUAGGAUAGGUGGGAGGCUUUGAAGCGUGGACGCCAGUCUGCGUGGAGCCAACCUUGAAAUACCACCCUUUAAUGUUUGAUGUUCUAACGUUGGCCCCUUACCGGGGUUGCGGACAGUGUCUGGUGGGUAGUUUGACUGGGGCGGUCUCCUCCCAAAGCGUAACGGAGGAGCACGAAGGUUAGCUAAUCCUGGUCGGACAUCAGGAGGUUAGUGCAAUGGCAUAAGCUAGCUUGACUGCGAGCGUGACGGCGCGAGCAGGUGCGAAAGCAGGUCAUAGUGAUCCGGUGGUUCUGAAUGGAAGGGCCAUCGCUCAACGGAUAAAAGGUACUCCGGGGAUAACAGGCUGAUACCGCCCAAGAGUUCAUAUCGACGGCGGUGUUUGGCACCUCGAUGUCGGCUCAUCACAUCCUGGGGCUGAAGUAGGUCCCAAGGGUAUGGCUGUUCGCCAUUUAAAGUGGUACGCGAGCUGGGUUUAGAACGUCGUGAGACAGUUCGGUCCCUAUCUGCCGUGGGCGCUGGAGAAUUGAGGGGGGCUGCUCCUAGUACGAGAGGACCGGAGUGGACGCAUCACUGGUGUUCGGGUUGUCAUGCCAAUGGCACUGCCCGGUAGCUAAAUGCUGAAGAGAUAAGUGCUGAAAGCAUCUAAGCACGAAACUUGCCCCGAGAUGAGUUCUCCCUGAGACUUUAAGUCUCCUGAAGGAACGUUAAAGACGAUGACGUUGAUAGGCCGGGUGUGUAAGCGCAGCGAUGCGUUGAGCUAACCGGUACUAAUGAACCGUGAGGCUUAACCUU